rnacentral:tRNA from 1 species
GCUCGAGUGGUGGAAUUGGUAGACACGCCGGACUUAAAAUCCUGUGGCCUUCGGGCCGUGCGGGUUCAAGUCCCGCCUCGAGUACAA